rnacentral:rRNA from 1 species
AUUGAACGCUGGCGGCAUGCUUUACACAUGCAAGUCAAACGGUAACAGGCCGCAAGGUGCUGACGAGUGGCGAACGGGUGAGUAAUGCAUCGGAACGUGCCCAGUCGUGGGGGAUAACGCAGCGAAAGCUGUGCUAAUACCGCAUACGAUCUGUGGAUGAAAGCGGGGGACCGUAAGGCCUCGCGCGAUUGGAGCGGCCGAUGUCAGAUUAGGUAGUUGGUGGGGUAAAGGCUCACCAAGCCGAAGAUCUGUAGCUGGUCUGAGAGGACGACCAGCGAUACUGGGCCUGAGACACGGCCCAGACUCCUACGGGAGGCAGCAGUGGGGAAUUUUGGACAAUGGGCGCAAGCCUGAGCAAGCAAUGCCGCGUGCAGGAAGAAGGCCUUCGGGUUGUAAACUGCUUUUGUACGGAGCGAAAAGGCUCUCUCUAAUACAGGGGGCUCAUGUCGGUACCGUAAGAAUAAGCACCGGCUAACUACGUGCCAGCAGCCGCCGUAA